ensembl:lncRNA
GUGGAGCCAUGCACCUGGCUGGGUGCUGGCCUGCCCCAAAGUCAGGCCUCAACUGCCGGACUCAGUCUCUCUGGCCUGAACAUUUUGGGGACCAUGCACAAGUGAUCCUCUUGUGGUUAGUUUGUAUUUUUUUUUCUCCAAAAGACAGACUUUUAUUCUAUACAUUACUUAUUGACUUCUCUGCACUGAAGCGAGUGAAGCUUCCGCCAGACUCGAGGCGGCUGGAAGGACACACUUGGACUUCCUCACCUCCCCUCGGGGCAGCGUCAGGAUGGCGGCCAUCCCUGGCCCGCGAGGACCCACGGCCGCAGGUGUCGGUGAGACCUCAGGCAUCCUCGAGCCGCCGGCCGAGCUUGGCUGUCCCCCGCCCUCUCGACGGCGCCUUCCCCAUCAGCCAGGAUUCGCAACGGCAAAUUGGAUUUUGGUAUGUUUUGUCACUCCAACACAAAACAGAUCACUAGCUAAGAGGAUAUCGUCUCCGCAGUCGAUGUGCUGAACACAGACGAGCUGAAUCAAUCCCCGAGGUCUUCCAGGGAAGCGGAUUUUCCCUGGGAAGCACAAGGAGAGGAGCCGUGGCGGAAGAGGUCAGUGGCAGUAUAGAUGGGGAAACCGUAGCUGCCCAAAGGCUCCCCUGGUCUUAACUUGUGGUCAGAUUCCCAUUUGACAUUGAAUUUGUCUGCCCGGCUGUGUUCCCGUCUGGGUAGUGUGGGGUCUGGAGCCAGAGGACGAACACACCACUCCUUGGCUUUGGCCCAGUGGUCAAGAGGCGAGACGGGAAGCCGAGUGAGGGGCACGAGUGUCCCUCUGGUGGAGGGAACGGACGACGAGAGGAGGGCCUGGCGGGGCGGCAGCUCCCAGGAUGUGCCAUGGAAACAGCCCGCGUGGAAUAUCAGCUCACUUGGCAGAGGUGGUUAGAGUGGAUUUUUCUUCCUCUCCAUCUCAGUCCUGCUUCGUGAAGGUAACACCUAAAAUAGAGCAGCAUCUCACAGAGCAUAUUCUGUGAAGAGGUGUUACCCCGAUGCAAAGUUUCUACCACUGAGAAGUUUGAGAAACCCUGAGUGUACAGCAAAUCGGGAGAGGGUCUUUGUUGCAGGACUUCUCAGAGCCUUUAAGCACACGACCACGGACGGAUUAAAAACCACAAAAGUAGGUAUACUGUGUAGUGGCUCUGGGAAUCCCCCGAGAAACACUGGACUAAAACAAGCACUUUCAUUUGCCUUCUCUCCACUGUGAAUGAAGAGGUGGACUCUGCAAUAGAAGUUUCAGCCAAACUUUCACACAAAGGACAAGGUUCUGGUGAUUACAUGGAUACUGGGGUUUCAAGCAGAAUGUUGCCAGGUGGGCAGACAGCGCAACUCCAGACUCAGUGUUUGCCCUUGUCCUUCUAAGGCAGCCAAGAGGUUCUCAGACAGGACUGAGAUCCAGGCAAGUGGGUAUUUUCUUAGGUUCCUGGACGAUGCUGGUUUGUCCCCCUGGUUAAAAAGCACUGGUGUUGUGGGAAAAGCUGGCUUUCGGAGGCAGAUGUAGAUGAUCCCAGCUCUGUCGCUUACCAGCUAAGGGGUCUUGGGAAACACCAUUUAUAACAUGAGGGAAUUGGUCUAGAUUAGUGAUUUUUAAAAUAUUUUAAUAUGUAUGCAGGGGCGUUCCCUCUUCAAAAUGCAGUUUUGGAGUUCCCGUCAUGGCUCAGAGGAAAUGAAUCUGACUAGCAUCCAUAAGGAUGCAGGUUCGAUCCCUGGCCUCUCUCAGUGGGUUAAGGAUCCGGCGAUGCCGUGAGCUGUGGUGUAGGUCGCAGAUGUGGCUUGGAUCUGGUGUUGCUGUGGCUGUGGCAUAGGCUGGCAGCUAUAGCUCCGAUUCGACCCCUAGCCUGAGAACCUCCAUUUAUCAUAGGUGCGGCCCUAAAACGCAAGAAGAAAGAGAAAAAAAUAAACAUUUUUAAAUAGGCAGUUUUAUGUGGAGUUCCAUUGCACAGAACAGACACAGGAUGGACUCUUGGGAACGGAAUGGAAGAGCCCAGAGCCUGGUACCCUUGCCCUGCCUCUUCAUCUCUGGUCUUGGCCUGGGUUCCCUAGAAAGCAGAGCCAGAGGCCAAAACUGAUGUGGGGACUCUUUGCUGAGAUGUGGAUUCCCAGGGCAGCAAGACUGAAGGAAGAAGGGGGGGGGAUGUACAAAGAAUGACGUUAAGACCAGGCCGGCCUCACCUUCCCGAGGAGACACAGCUGGUGGCCCCAGAAAAGCCUGGUGGGAGCAUGGUCUCAGAAGAGUCUGGAAGCCAGGCACAGCCAGCCUCCCUCCACUUGCCUGGUCCUUCCUGCUGCAGCUUCCCGGGCACGGUUCACCCCAGGAGGGGGGAACUCUGCCUUCCCUUGGGUCGUGAUGCUUGGUCAAACUGGGGCCUGUGAGGUCAAGCCCGAGGGGUGGGGCUGGGGCUUCCGUGGCUCCCCCACCAUGCGUGUAAAGGUGUUACACCUGCAGGAGUCUGCCCUUCCCCCCCGAAGGGUGAAAAGGAGCAGGGCCUUUAGGAGCAGAGAAAUGGGGUGAGGCAUCCCUGCGGCCGCUCUGGCAGGGAGCAGGGCAAGGGGGGUUGAAGUCCGGAAUUGGGGGUGGAGGUGGGGAGUUAGGUGGGGCUGAGCCAUCUGUGCAGGAGCGUCAGUUGAGGGUCUGGGAUGACGGGCUCCGUGUAAGGACGAUGCACUUCUUCAGAACAGAGUCAGUGAACCUCAGCAGGCUGCUCCAGUGAGGCGGCAUUCAGGCCCCCACAGUCGUGACUCUGGCCGAGACCGCUGACCACACUGUGGAUGACCCGAUUGGAACCCCAGAGGAACCAUGUGGAGAAUGCAUUCCAGUCAGGUUUCGGGACGCUUUCCUAACUUUUAGGGCUCAUUGACCAAAGGAGUGCCUUCCACGUGGUGCCACGUGACUAUCUCAGACGCUUGUGUUUGUGAUGGCAGAGGAGCGAGGCCACCGGGACACUGGGGACAGAGGCAUCUGAUCUCUGCCUCUCUCCUAGUUUUAAAUAAUUUUGUGAUCAUCGCAACGUGGCGUGGCGGGGGGGGGGGGGAGGGAUUUCUGCAUAAAAUAUUUCCUGUAAGUCAUUGCCUCUAGCCAGUUUUUUUCUUAAACAGCUCUUAAGCUUCGCUGCUCCUCUGGGGUCAUCUGGCACAAAGGACGGAUGGUCACGCCAUGCUUGUGACCCUCUUCCCUGCUCUCUUCGCCGUUAGAUACUGAUCCUUGUCUUUCUCCCGUAAAUGUACUUGCCCUUAACCGCUGAUUGAUGCACGCAGCUCACUGACUCCAAGGUAUGUCUGUGUUAGCACAUCCAGCUCCCAGUGGGUCAGAACCAGCCCUUGCUUGAAGGAGUCUCUGUGUCAUCAGAAACUUAAUUCAUACUUUUUAAUGGUGGCAAAGAAGCAAUGACGGCAGUAACAAUGAAAUUACUUAUUUCUGGAGUUCCUAUUGCAGCUCAUCUAGUGAAGAACCUGAUACUGUCUCCCUGAGGAUGUGGGUUCGAUCCUUAACCUUGCUCAGUGGGUUAAGGAUCCAGCAUUGCUGUAAGCUGUAGCGGAGGUCACAGGUGCGGCUUGGGUCCAGUGUGGCUGUGGCUGUGGUGUAGGCGGGCAGCUGCAGCUCCAACUCAACCCCUAGCCCAGAAACUUCCAUAUGCUGCAGGUGCAGCCCUAAAAAGAAAUUACUUAAUUCCUUAUGUCUUUAGAUGACAGGGACCUUUUCUUACUUCUGUAGUAUACUCAGCACCCUACCUAGGGCCCGUCUUGUUGGAAGCAAUCGAUAGGUAUUUGCAGAGGAAAGAGAACAGAUGGGUGGAGGAGGAGGAGUGGCAAGCAACAGCUAAAGGGCACAACUAGCAAAGUGUGAACCAGCUGCCCUGGCAGGUGCCUGCUCUCUGGCAGGGGCUGGGGUGGAACCACACCAAAGCUGGUGGCUGUUCCCCACGUUUAAGAUGAACUGAAACGAGCGUCGGCUGAUCCCACCCAUCACCCUCCCUAGCGUGUCCUGGGGGUUGGGGGCAGGUAGGGGCCGUGGUCUCUUCACUUUGAUGCUCGCUCUUCAUGUAAAACUCACUAUGGGUUUAGAUACGCGUAGAUUGGGCCCUGCAUUUCCCAGGGCAUUUCAAAGACUGGGCCUUCUGUGGAAAAAGCAUUUGUGGCCAAGUAAGUCUUGCAAAUAUUUUAUGCUGCAUCCUCCUCUUGGAGAUUCAAGAUGCACAUUAAAGGCAAAGGAGUUUGGCUGUUGAGCCUGGUGAAUUAUUCUGAGCCGCCCAUUUUGCAGUGGAGGGAUCCCUUUGUGUGGGUGUAUUUAAACCUGUUGACGUUUCUUGGAACAAGUGUUCCCCAGAAAGCAUUUUGGGAGACGCUGGCCUUCAUCUGGAAGUUUUCAGGUUUGAGUUUAGUCUGGGGGAGAAAAAUAACAUUACUCUGCUCUUAAAACAGGGACUGGUCAGGGCCAGCAUCCAGGGAAGCCGACCUCCUCUUGUCCUUGUCCUUUGCUUUUGGGAACCUCAGCGAUGGCCGCAGAAUGUUCUGAGACGUUGGUGACCCUGGUGUCUUUAGAUGUACGUUUUCUAACGGGACUGUUUUAAGGAGGGUGAUGGCAGUUCUGACAGGUUUGCGGAAACGUUUCCAACAAGUAGCACUUUUCGGUUGCACGUAAUAGAUCAAGACGGAUGUUUGCACAAUGCGUGAGUAAUGACGUUCGCCUCCUCAGUAAAUUUUUUUUCAGCUACACUUAUUGAAUCAGAGGCUUCAGUGUAACUGGUGGAGAUAAACGUUCUGAAUUAACGAAGAAGGCUUGAGUUAUUGAGAUAGAACUCCCUAAAUUUUGGAUGCAUGAAACAGAUUUUCCUCUCAGGGAAGAAACUUCGCUACCCUAGAGAGGCUGACAGAUUCUAAUUAGACAGUAAAUCCAUGGUUUCUAGCAUUGGGUAGUGACCCAGGGAGCAAAGUUAGAUAUUUCCCAGGAGAAGCAUUUUACCGCCCAGUAUUCAUUUGUAGGUGUGUGUGUGUGUGUGUGUGUGUGUAUGUGUGUGUGUGUGUGUGUGUCUCGAAGUGGGGGUGGGGCAUCGUCCCAGUGGCCCUUGGGUUUGGGUCACCUGGGGACACUGACAGAUAACCCACGUGCCCAAUUAUAGGGCCUUGCCAUGCUUUGCCCAAGCACCGUGCUCCUUUCCAAAGUGAGUAACAGUUGCUAACACACACUUACUAACAAAAUUCCCCCGACGCCCAUUCAUAAAGCACAGCACCGGUGAUUCUAGCAGCAUUAAACUGUUUGGCGACCGAGUUUAGAAUUAUAGGAAUCGGAGAAAUGAAUUAGCAGUAAAUCAAGUCCCAGCUGAGUUCGAACCCAACUGCAUUGGGUUUUAAAUUAAAAAAAUGUUGCUGUGAUGAAACAGUUGUAAGUCAAGCGCUGAAGCUCUGUCACUGUUGACUUUGGGGAAGGGUGGCGGGCACCCUUUGAAAGGAAAACCUGACGACGGCUUGUAUUGAUUCCCAGCCAUGCUGGGAAAUGGCCCUUCAUUUCUUCUUCAUGAGCUGGUGGACUUCAUUUUUUUUUUUAAAGGAGUCCUAUUUGCAGGGACGCAGCAGAGUUCUGGGAGCAGGGCGGGUGGGCGAGGGCUCAGGCCCAGGGGGACCGUUCAGAGCCUUCUUUUCGGUCCUUCUCAGGAGGAGUCAUGAAGAAGGGACAUCUCACUCUGCUGGUGCUGUGUGAUUUGUUUCUCUGCUCAGACCAUAUUUGAUUCUUCUUUCUGGGGGAUCUGUACUGAAGAACAACAAAGAGAGCACUUCAAGGAGGCUGCAGGACUGUCAUGUUGCAGUGACAAUUGCGGUGUACUAGGAAAUCACUUAUGUAAGUUACGGUGCCCUCUGAGUGGGGCUUGUCAGAAAUGUGGCUCCAGCUUCCUGAGGCUUAUUUUUUUUCCCUCCUGCAAAAUAAUCCUGAGUUUUCUAUUUGCAGAGUGAGAGAAGAAUUAUUAUGUUCCAGCCAGGGAAUUGGGAGACCCAGCGUCUAAUCCUGGGUUUGCUGAAUUUCUUUCAGCGAGUUCCGUCUCUGGACCAGGCCUUGAUUUCUCUUUCUUUCAAGCCAGAAUUAGCCCUUGCUGUUCCUGACUUGAAG